CACGCCGUAAACGAUGAAUGCUAGGUGUUGGGGAGCAAAGCUCUUCGGUGCCGCCGCAAACGCAUUAAGCAUUCCACCUGGGGAGUACGUUCGCAAGAAUGAAACUCAAAGGAAUUGACG
rnacentral:rRNA from 1 species